UGGGGAAUAUUGCACAAUGGGCGAAAGCCUGAUGCAGCAACGCCGCGUGAGUGAUGAAGGUCUUCGGAUUGUAAAGCUCUGUCUUUUGGGACGAUAAUGACGGUACCAAAGGAGGAAGCCACGGCUAACUACGUGCCAGCAGCCGCGGUAAUACGUAGGUGGCGAGCGUUGUCCGGAUUUACUGGGCGUAAAGGGUGCGUAGGCGGAUGUUUAAGUGAGAUGUGAAAUACCCGGGCUUAACUUGGGUGCUGCAUUUCAAACUGGAUAUCUAGAGUGCAGGAGAGGAGAAUGGAAUUCCUAGUGUAGCGGUGAAGUGCGUAGAGAUUAGGAAGAACAUCAGUGGCGAAGGCGAUUCUCUGGACUGUAACUGACGCUGAGGCACGAAAGCGUGGGUAGCAAACAGGAUUAGAUACCCUGGUAGUCCACGCCGUAAACGAUGAGUACUAGGUGUAGGAGGUAUCGACCCCUUCUGUGCCGCAGUAAACACAUUAGGUACUCCGCCUGGGAAGUACGAUCGCAAGAUUAAAACUCUAAAGUGAAUUGACGGGGUC
rnacentral:rRNA from 1 species